AGAUAAAUGCGGAAGAGAUUAGUGAUGAAAGUAUCUAAGCACGAAACUUGCCCCGAGAUGAGUUCUCACUGAGACUUUUAGUCUCAUGAAGGAUCGUUGAAGACGACGACGUUGAUAGGCCGUGUGUGUAAGCGCAGCGAUGCGUUGAGCUAAACGGUACUAAUGAAAAGUGAUGCUUAACCUU
rnacentral:rRNA from 1 species